rnacentral:rRNA from 1 species
UUAAGCGACUAAGCGUACACGGUGGAUGCCCUGGCAGUCAGAGGCGAUGAAGGACGUGCUAAUCUGCGAUAAGCGUCGGUAAGGUGAUAUGAACCGUUAUAACCGGCGAUUUCCGAAUGGGGAAACCCAGUGUGUUUCGACACACUAUCAUUAACUGAAUCCAUAGGUUAAUGAGGCGAACCGGGGGAACUGAAACAUCUAAGUACCCCGAGGAAAAGAAAUCAACCGAGAUUCCCCCAGUAGCGGCGAGCGAACGGGGAGCAGCCCAGAGCCUGAAUCAGUGUGUGUGUUAGUGGAAGCGUCUGGAAAGGCGCGCGAUACAGGGUGACAGCCCCGUACACAAAAAUGCACAUAUUGUGAGCUCGAUGAGUAGGGCGGGACACGUGGUAUCCUGUCUGAAUAUGGGGGGCCCAUCCUCCAAGGCUAAAUACUCCUGACUGACCGAUAGUGAACCAGUACCGUGAGGGAAAGGCGAAAAGAACCCCGGCGAGGGGAGUGAAAAAGAACCUGAAACCGUGUACGUACAAGCAGUGGGAGCACGCUUAGGCGUGUGACUGCGUACCUUUUGUAUAAUGGGUCAGCGACUUAUAUUCUGUAGCAAGGUUAACCGAAUAGGGGAGCCGAAGGGAAACCGAGUCUUAACUGGGCGUUAAGUUGCAGGGUAUAGACCCGAAACCCGGUGAUCUAGCCAUGGGCAGGUUGAAGGUUGGGUAACACUAACUGGAGGACCGAACCGACUAAUGUUGAAAAAUUAGCGGAUGACUUGUGGCUGGGGGUGAAAGGCCAAUCAAACCGGGAGAUAGCUGGUUCUCCCCGAAAGCUAUUUAGGUAGCGCCUCGUGAAUUCAUCUCCGGGGGUAGAGCACUGUUUCGGCAAGGGGGUCAUCCCGACUUACCAACCCGAUGCAAACUGCGAAUACCGGAGAAUGUUAUCACGGGAGACACACGGCGGGUGCUAACGUCCGUCGUGAAGAGGGAAACAACCCAGACCGCCAGCUAAGGUCCCAAAGUCAUGGUUAAGUGGGAAACGAUGUGGGAAGGCCCAGACAGCCAGGAUGUUGGCUUAGAAGCAGCCAUCAUUUAAAGAAAGCGUAAUAGCUCACUGGUCGAGUCGGCCUGCGCGGAAGAUGUAACGGGGCUAAACCAUGCACCGAAGCUGCGGCAGCGANNNNNNNNNNNNNNNNNNNNNNNNNNNNNNNNNNNNNNNNNNNNNNNNNNNNNNNNNNNNNNNNNNNNNNNNNNNNNNNNNGCUUAUGCGUUGUUGGGUAGGGGAGCGUUCUGUAAGCCUGCGAAGGUGUGCUGUGAGGCAUGCUGGAGGUAUCAGAAGUGCGAAUGCUGACAUAAGUAACGAUAAAGCGGGUGAAAAGCCCGCUCGCCGGAAGACCAAGGGUUCCUGUCCAACGUUAAUCGGGGCAGGGUGAGUCGACCCCUAAGGCGAGGCCGAAAGGCGUAGUCGAUGGGAAACAGGUUAAUAUUCCUGUACUUGGUGUUACUGCGAAGGGGGGACGGAGAAGGCUAUGUUGGCCGGGCGACGGUUGUCCCGGUUUAAGCGUGUAGGCUGGUUUUCCAGGCAAAUCCGGAAAAUCAAGGCUGAGGCGUGAUGACGAGGCACUACGGUGCUGAAGCAACAAAUGCCCUGCUUCCAGGAAAAGCCUCUAAGCAUCAGGUAACAUCAAAUCGUACCCCAAACCGACACAGGUGGUCAGGUAGAGAAUACCAAGGCGCUUGAGAGAACUCGGGUGAAGGAACUAGGCAAAAUGGUGCCGUAACUUCGGGAGAAGGCACGCUGAUAUGUAGGUGAAGUCCCUUGCGGAUGGAGCUGAAAUCAGUCGAAGAUACCAGCUGGCUGCAACUGUUUAUUAAAAACACAGCACUGUGCAAACACGAAAGUGGACGUAUACGGUGUGACGCCUGCCCGGUGCCGGAAGGUUAAUUGAUGGGGUCAGCGCAAGCGAAGCUCUUGAUCGAAGCCCCGGUAAACGGCGGCCGUAACUAUAACGGUCCUAAGGUAGCGAAAUUCCUUGUCGGGUAAGUUCCGACCUGCACGAAUGGCGUAAUGAUGGCCAGGCUGUCUCCACCCGAGACUCAGUGAAAUUGAACUCGCUGUGAAGAUGCAGUGUACCCGCGGCAAGACGGAAAGACCCCGUGAACCUUUACUAUAGCUUGACACUGAACAUUGAGCCUUGAUGUGUAGGAUAGGUGGGAGGCUUUGAAGUGUGGACGCCAGUCUGCAUGGAGCCGGCCUUGAAAUACCACCCUUUAAUGUUUGAUGUUCUAACGUGGACCCGUGAUCCGGGUUGCGGACAGUGUCUGGUGGGUAGUUUGACUGGGGCGGUCUCCUCCUAAAGAGUAACGGAGGAGCACGAAGGUUGGCUAAUCCUGGUCGGACAUCAGGAGGUUAGUGCAAUGGCAUAAGCCAGCUUGACUGCGAGCGUGACGGCGCGAGCAGGUGCGAAAGCAGGUCAUAGUGAUCCGGUGGUUCUGAAUGGAAGGGCCAUCGCUCAACGGAUAAAAGGUACUCCGGGGAUAACAGGCUGAUACCGCCCAAGAGUUCAUAUCGACGGCGGUGUUUGGCACCUCGAUGUCGGCUCAUCACAUCCUGGGGCUGAAGUAGGUCCCAAGGGUAUGGCUGUUCGCCAUUUAAAGUGGUACGCGAGCUGGGUUUAGAACGUCGUGAGACAGUUCGGUCCCUAUCUGCCGUGGGCGCUGGAGAACUGAGGGGGGCUGCUCCUAGUACGAGAGGACCGGAGUGGACGCAUCACUGGUGUUCGGGUUGUCAUGCCAAUGGCACUGCCCGGUAGCUAAAUGCGGAAGAGAUAAGUGCUGAAAGCAUCUAAGCACGAAACUUGCCCCGAGAUGAGUUCUCCCUGACCCUUUAAGGGUCCUGAAGGAACGUUGAAGACGACGACGUUGAUAGGCCGGGUGUGUAAGCGCAGCGAUGCGUUGAGCUAACCGGUACUAAUGAACCGUGAGGCUUAACCUU